AAGGAAUAUUGGACAAUGGGCGCAAGCCUGAUCCAGCCAUGCCGCGUGAAGGAUGAAGACGCUCAGCGUUGUAAACUUCUUUUGGACGGGAACAAUACCCCUGAUGCGUCAGGGCUUGAGGGUACCGUCAGAAUAAGCACCGGCUAACUCCGUGCCAGCAGCCGCGGUAAUACGGAGGGUGCAAGCGUUAUCCGGAAUCACUGGGUUUAAAGGGUGCGUAGGCGGUCUUGUAAGUCGGUCGUGAAAUCGCUGGGCUCAACCCAUGCAAUCGCGAUUGAUACUGCGAGACUUGAAUGGGGUUAAGGCAGGCGGAAUGUGGCAUGUAGCGGUGAAAUGCAUAGAUAUGCCAUAGAACACCGAUUGCGAAGGCAGCCUGCUGGGCCUUUAUUGACGCUGAGGCACGAAAGCGUGGGGAGCAAAC
rnacentral:rRNA from 1 species